rnacentral:pre_miRNA from 1 species
GUACCACCUUGUCGGGUAGCUUAUCAGACUGAUGUUGACUGUUGACUCUCAUGGCAACAGCAGUCGAUGGGCUGUCCGACAUUCUGGUAUC